rnacentral:rRNA from 1 species
GUCUCUAAGCAAUGGAUGUCUUGGCUCCUCACACGAUGAAGAACGUGGCAUAAUGUGUUAAGUAACCGGAGUUGCAAACAUCAUGACAGGUUAAUCUUUGAAUGCAAAUUGCGCUAAACUCGAUCUCGGUCGAGAAGCAUGGGUGU